UGGGGAAUAUUGGACAAUGGAGGAAACUCUGAUCCAGCAAUUCUGUGUGUGUGAAGAAGGUUUUAGGACUGUAAAACACUUUUAGUAGGGAAGAAAAAAAUGACGGUACCUACAGAAGAAGCAACGGCUAAAUACGUGCCAGCAGCCGCGGUAAUACGUAUGUUGCGAGCGUUAUCCGGAAUUAUUGGGCUUAAAGGGCAUCUAGGCGGUAAGACAAGUUGAAGGUGAAAACCUGUGGCUCAACCAUAGGCUUGCCUACAAAACAGUUGAACUAGAGUACUGGAAAGGUGGGUGGAACUACACGAGUAGAGGUGAAAUUCGUAGAUAUGUGAAGGAAUGCCGAUGAUGAAGAUAACUCACUGGACAGAAACUGACGCUGAAGUGCGAAAGCUAGGGGAGCAAACAGG
rnacentral:rRNA from 1 species